AUCACAAUCUUAUCACCAUUUUGUCAAGGAGAAGCACAAAGAACAGAAUAUUAACUUAUAAAACAGUUGUUUGCAGUAUGUAUCACAUAACUUUGGGCAUGUAGUUAUAGUUUUUAUCAAUUAUGGCCAAGCAAAACAACAGUUUCCCUUUUCAGCAGGAAAGUUUAGUAACAUUGUUAUAUAAGAACUUCUGAAAAAUGAUGGUCUAUUUUUACCUGUCUUUCUUGGGAAGUAAAUAGUCAUGCUACAUAUACAGUAAAAUUUAUGCAGUUCUUCAUAAUUUCCAUUUUUUUUUUUUUUUAAGUUUUCAUGUUCCAAGUAAAGAUCUUUACCUUCCGCCAAGGUCCCACUGUGGAUACGGCAGAUGGUGGAUUGUCGCCCUAUUACAGAUCAAAAUGUAAGCACAACAUAAUAAUUGGAAAAAAAAAAAAUAUUGAAGUGAUUAAGAAAUCCCUCACAGACAAGAUUUAAAUGAUUUUCACAAUUACAAGUAAUCUUUGAGAGAUUUCUUUAACCAUUCCUUGAAAUUCAAGUACAAAAGCUAACGAUAUUAACAUACUUCCGCAAACUUUUCAAAAUUCUGUGUGUCUAACUCUCCAGUUACUGUAGGUUUGUAGGCAGGUUCCAUUUCAUAAAGGGUAUCCCAGUUAACGCCUGUAAACCACGGAUGUGCCUGGAAUUGAAAACAAGGUAAUGCUAAUCACAAAGAAAACUAGUCUUUUUGUAGAAAUUCCUCUUGUACAAUCACUAAUACUAUAAAUAUAAAGUUUAUCCAAGUUCCUGAAAAUAAUAUUUUUUCUACCUUUGUCUGUGUAUGGACAUAUAUGUCAUUCAUUUUACCUUUAUUUCGUCCACUCCUCUGGUCCCCAACCUUCUUUCAACAUCACAUAACAAAUGACAGAUCAGAUCCUUGGCCUCAACUGAGAUUUUUGGUUCUUCAGGGAAUUUCAAGCAUGUUUUCCAAUUGAUAAUCUGAUACAAGAAAGAAGCAUGAUAUAUCUUGCAAAAAACGAGGGAUAUUUUUGAAAUAGUAAAAAUAAUGAUUAGCGCAAGUGUGAAAAGAUUAUAUUUAACAUUGCUACAUCAACUAUGUGUAAAUGGGUACGAAUUAUGAUUAAAAAUACUGAAAUUAUUGACGAUUCCCAUGGAGAUCUCAUUUGAGAAGAACCAGCAAAAAAAUUUCAUUCUGCAAAACUUUUCAUACUUUGCAAAUUCUUGCAUCGUCAAGAAGUUUGAACAAUCACAAACUGACAAGUAUUACAAUACCUUGCGGCAUGUCAUUCUAGGAUCGUCAGAGCAAAAGGGAGGAUAGCCUAUGAGCAUUUCAUACAUGAUUGCCCCCAGUGACCACCAGUCACACUCCAUUCCAUAUCCUUUCUUCAAUAAAACUUCAGGUGCCAUAUAAUCAAGAGUUCCAACAGUCGAAUAUGCCUGCAAAAGUUACCAUUCAGCUAAUGCUUUUUCCCCAAUCUUCUUUAAGUAUAUCAGUAUAAAAUAAAUGCGUAAAUUACAUUUAUGGUCACUAAAUUUGUACUAAAAUUUCAUGCUAAGCUUUUGUUUCUACUGAACUUAAACUUUGUUUCAAGUUGUACGCUUCGUCCAUUUCUAAUAGUCCAACAGAUAUGCUGACGUGACACUCUAGUUUUUCCCAAGUAGCUGCCAACUAGAUUUUCAUGUUAGCUUUUCUAUUAGUCAAACCGGACGAUAUGGAUGGAAUGACCUCAUUGUGAAAAGAGCUGAAGUUUACUUGAAACAAAAUUUAAGUUCAGUAAUCAAUUUGAAACAAAAUAUAACGACCAAAGUGAAAUUUCACGAAAAGUUCAGAGUCCACUUUCAUUUUUAACCCGCUUACAAUAGUGAAAGCGAAAAUUGUCGGACCAACAUACUAUUCCAACUAAGCAACAAAAUGAGUAUAAAAGAAUACCAAGGCACGACGGUUACGUUUCCACUGCUGUAACUGCUCCUUCGCCAUUAACCAAGGAGCACUAUCAUUGCCAUCAUGCCCUUCACUAUCACUUCUAGACUCCUGAUUAGUAAAAUCAUCGUCUUCCAACAACGAUGAAUAUUUAUUAUCCAGGGGCUUACACAAGCCAAAGUCAGAAAGCUUUAAAUGGCCAUUUUUGUCCAAUAUUAGGUUGUCUGGUUUGAUGUCCCUACAAUAAGCACCAAUUUGAUAGCACUAAGGUUGUAGAAAUAUAUAUAAGAACAACAUGCACAUAUAAAUAAGCAAAAGUUGGUGCAUUAAAAGUAUGGCUAAUGCUUGAAAUAACAGGUUCGAUGACAACAUUUCUGUAGGAAAAGGCCUAUCUAUCUAGUUCCAUUUGAUUGACUUUUGACUCUGCUAUCAAACAGGGAAAGAAGAACGAGCAAAUCAUACAAAUACUUAGGAUAAAAUGAUGAAUUACAUUGAUACCUAUGGACAUAACCGUGCUGGUGAAUCGAAUGAAUCGCUAGAAUGCUUUCUGCAAUGUAGAACCGUGCAACAUCUUCGGAAAGGGUAUCCUCUCUCAUAAGUAAAGUCAUAAUAUCACCACCAGGCAAGUAUUCCAUAAUAAGGUAUAAAAAAUCAGAAUCUUGGAAAGAAUAAAAAAGCUUCACUAUGCAACGACUAUCCACCUCCACAAGCAAAUUCCUCUCAGAUCGGACAUUAUUGAAGUGAUUAAGAAAUCCCUCACAGACAAGAUUUAAAUGAUUUUCACAAUUACAAGUAAUCUUUGAGAGAUUUCUUUAACCAUUCCUUGAAAUUCAAGUACAAAAGCUAACGAUAUUAACAUACUUCCGCAAACUUUUCAAAAUUCUGUGUGUCUAACUCUCCAGUUACUGUAGGUUUGUAGGCAGGUUCCAUUUCAUAAAGGGUAUCCCAGUUAACGCCUGUAAACCACGGAUGUGCCUGGAAUUGAAAACAAGGUAAUGCUAAUCACAAAGAAAACUAGUCUUUUUGUAGAAAUUCCUCUUGUACAAUCACUAAUACUAUAAAUAUAAAGUUUAUCCAAGUUCCUGAAAAUAAUAUUUUUUCUACCUUUGUCUGUGUAUGGACAUAUAUGUCAUUCAUUUUACCUUU
rnacentral:lncRNA from 1 species